GAGCCCCCUCAAACAGCACGCUCACCCGUGCCAUAUUGCCCAGGGAUGCCUGAAGUACCCAGUGUAUCGACAACUGUGUGUGCAGUUGCUAUAAAUGUGGAAUAAACUAACAUUUGCACAGAAUUAAAUACGCUAUUGCAGUAAGAAGUAUUUCAGCGACAAACUGAGGCUUGUGAAAGUGUUUCUUCAAGGGCUGUUAAAGUAUUCUCCAGCCCCCAAACCACCUAGCAAUGUAACCCCCUAUGGAGAAGCGGGAGCUGAGUGAAGGUUUUGGGAGGUUGGGCUGCCCGAUGCUCUGUGCAGGGUGAAAGCCCCCUCCUCCCCCCAAACAAAACCCCAAACAGCUUACACUGAGAAAUUACAACUGGUGUUGUAAAUCCGAACAGCUGUUGUGAAAUAACUGUUGCCGAAAAAUGGGUUUAAUUUUCUUGCAAAUAAACCACGAGCAUAUGUUGAAACCAACAGCCCGACAGAUAUUGUACAGCCUCUGUUUCUCUUUUCAUUUUUUACAGCACAAGAAAGUUUGAAACCAUUGAAGAUUUUCCAGUUUUCUUUGCAUACGAGAGCCGGUCUUUUGUCUUCAUCCAUGAAAGCUUAGGAGAAGGUGAAAAGGCAACCGAACUGGGGAGACACUGCUCCGGCAUAAUGAGUCUGAGCAGUACUGCUGAACGCUGGAAUCACAUCUAGAAAAGCAGCCACAAUUUGCUAGUUGGUGACUCCUUAGAGCUGGUGAAACUCUUCUAAAGAGGGCUAAAAUGCCUGGGAACAGUUUUGUAACAGAGUCACUCCCAAGGUACGGAGGAAUGCUGAAGGUCAUUGGGAGCAGCACAUAGCACAUUCUCCUUUCCUGAGGAAAGCUGUUAAGAAGGAGCGAGAUUUGAAAGACACAUCCUAAACCUUCUCUACAACAGGGAUAGGCAAUGAAUUAGAAAAGUUCAUGGCCAGUGAAGAAGGCAUAGUACAUAAGGGACCUGUAGAGAAGAUUAUUUUCCCAUGUAUCUCUGUUUGCUCUUACGCCAGCUCAUCUAAUAGGUGUUUUGGUGCUCAUCACUCAUAUUUGAGCAUCACUACUUUUCUUUGGAGAAGCCAUCACUAUUCUCAAGUCAGACUGCAAAGUAACAGCUCUGUUUCUGCCUCAUUGCGCACUCUCGUUGUUGAAUAUAAAGCAGUGUAUAUAUAUAUAUGUUUUUUUUCAGGCUAAUAUGCAUUUUACACACAUCUUAACGUGGGGGAAGAAGAUAUGUUGUCUAACCUAGUUUUGUUUGCAACCAAGUUAUUUAUUUGAUCCAGAUCAGAUUUGAAGGUAUUUGCUAAAAUGAAGUGUUUCUGAUUGUGAUAUAUCUGGUGAUCCUCAAGAUCUUUGAAAAAUUAAGAUGUUACCUGCUCCAAGCUGAACUGGCUGCAAAGGAAAGAUGUUUUUGUGACAGUUCUGCAGUUUGAGAUAGAGCUAGAAUAUUUUUUCUAUCCUGCCCUGGAUUAAAAAUAAGUUGUGUCUAUUUACAUUGCUAUCAAAAAUAUCUACUUGUUGAAAACGUUUAGAAAGCAUGCUAGCCAUAGGACAUAGUAUUCUUCACUAUGUAGAGGACUUGACAAUAUUUGUCCUUUGCCUUGGAGACAGAGACACUCUAGAAGCCCAGAUGUGGAGGGACCAAGAGAGAUGACCUCAUGUGUCCGAAGAAGAUGACUUCACAUCUCUGGGCCACCACCUUGUCUGGAGCCACCAGAAUGGUUGUCUGUGUUUAAGCACAUGGUUAUCUGUGGGUAAAGAAAGCGCUGUAACAUCUAUGUCUCACCACGCUCUGAUCAGUGAAGCUCUUAGCCCUGGCAAGCAUGUCAGCUGUGAGAGCUGCCCCAAAGGGCAUGCUGAAAGCUGUGUGCUGCCAUUGCCCUGCUUCUUGUCCUCACUGCCACCUUUAGAAGCCCACGUGGUAGGAAAUAGCUAGCCCACAGCUGUGCAUGUGCCAGUCAGUCUGUCAAUAAAUAUGUGUGUGUAUACAUGCA
ensembl:lncRNA